GGAGUCACGUGAGGGAAGAUGGCGGCUUCUGCUCGUGUGAGAGGGCGCGCGAAGGAGUCUGGGGUGGCGCAGAGGAUGCUGGGAUUGCUUGUCUGAAGGAGGGACUUGACUUGCAGCAGGGCCUUGCUGUGUGCAGCGCCGAGCACCUGCGGGGCCAGCGAGCCUAGGCCUGGGGCAGGUGCCAGGCUGCGACCACCACCCACGCUCUCUUUAUUGCAAAGAGCAAUUCUUCCAACUCUAAUAUAUUGGAAGAAUAAAUAAUAAAAUAAUCAUUUAUUUAUUUUAAUAAUGCAAUAUGUAUGUUCAUUUUAAUAAUAAUAUAUUCAUUUAUUUAUUAAGCCAUUUAUUUUAAUAAUACAAUAUUUGUUUACUUUAAUAAAUCAUUUAUUUCCUUUAAUUAUACAAUAUUUUUACUUUAAUAAUACAAUAUUCAUUUAUUAAUCAUUAAUAGUACAAUAUUUACUUUAAUAAUGAAUUAUUAACUUUAAUAAUACCAUAUUUAUUUAUUGGCAUCACCUUUUGUUUUUUUUAAUGAUGCAAUAUUUAUUGUAAUCACAAUUUAUUUGUUUGUUUCUUUUAAUAAUAAUGAUAUAUUUUUUAAUAUAAAAUAAUAACCUUGCCUGCCCGCAUCCCUCGACCGACACGGCUACAAGCGACGCCCCCGACCCGCGAACAAUGCACACGUGGUCUCCUGUGUUGCUUGAGGGAAAGGCAGACGUGCGAUCUUCUUUUAGACCAACUAAAUCUCUGGGGAUAAUUGUUCUUCGCAAGCUUUUGGGCACAAGCGCCCCUCUUCAGGCACGGGGAGAGUCUGCUGGUGUUUUGUGUUCUCCUGGACCCUUCCAAAAAGGAGAGACGCUGCUGCGCAAGGGCAGCUGAAUCGAGCCCGAGUGCUGUUCGUCCUGCCUAGAUAGAGACCCUGCGCUAGACAAGUGAGAGACGGGACCAGGCAAAUUAAUUCCUCUAGCGGACAAGUUGAAUGCCUUGCCAAGAAGUGUGGCAUACUCCCAUCAGGAAUCCAUUCCAGCGUGCAGGGCAGUGCAGCACCUUGCGGAUACGGUUGCACAGGUGUACUCAGCCGGGGAAGAUGUGGUGGAUGAUUGCAGGCCUGUUCAGAUGAUGGUAUCACAGGAAUGUACCUCCAUCCUUAUCCUUGCAGAUUUCCUUGCCCUCCUGCUGAGAUCCUAGGGAGGGGAGACAUGAAAGUGCUAAACACUAUUCAAGAGGAGGACAGGGCAGAGCGGGGUCUGUCCUGUUUGCCAGACAGGAUGAAACCUGUGCACUCUUCACAGUCUAUUUUCAUUAAAUAAUAUUCAACCCCUUGUUAUAUGUUGGAUAUUGAAUGCCAUGCUUACAUUUUCACAACAACCACCCUAAACACACCAAGAAAGCUGUAAUAUACAGCCAAGCCCUCUGAUACCACCGAUGCACUAAGAAGAAUACCCGCAAUCGUCACCUUGCCAGUCUCAAAAGGGCUUUCACCCAACAGGGACGCUACUCCAGAGAGAUGGAUCAUACUUUUGAAAAAGCCACCCGGAUACCACGUGAAGGAUUGCUGCAGCAUAAAAAAGAAAAUCCCCAUGAAUAACACACGCCGUUGGUUAUGCCAUACCAUCCUUCCUUGGAACCUAUAUGGAAAAUCCUUAAACAAGUGCAACUAGAAGAAGACCCAAGUCUCAAACAGAUGUUUCCAAAACCACCCAUCCUUGCCUUUAAACAAGCAUGGAACCUUGCCAACCUCAUAACCAGAAGCAAAUUUCUUAUGACCCAAAACACACCAAAUGGCUCCAGACUAUGCCAGGACAAGAAAUGUAAAACCUGCCAACACAUCACCACUCCCACAAUAACUACAUCUCACAACAGACCCAUCACCAUUCCUGGAUCUUACUCCUGCACCUCCAGAAAUGUAAUAUAUCUCAUCCAGUGCACUAAAUGCCGUAAUAGAAAAUAUGUAGGAGAAACCAAACAGCAACUGAGUACCAGAAAGAAAGCACACUGAAAAUCUAUCAAAGACAAGAUUACCCGUAGGUGCACAUUUUUCACAAGACAACCACUCUCUCUCCAGUCACUCAGUUCUGAUCCUCAAAGGGAAUUUACAAAACACCUUUCAUAGACAAACCUGCGAACUUCACUUCAUAAAUCUACUGGAUACAAAAAAUCAUGGGCUAAAGAUAGACAUUGGCUUUAUGGCACCUGCUUGCCAUCUGAUAACCCCAGAUAACCCGUCUGCAUUUUACCAGCUACAUUCUAUCGCCAGCUCUACAUUCCUUGUUCUCCCCCCUGUCUCUCAUGUAUUUUCUCCCAUUCCCUCAUAUCCUCACUGCCACGCAUUUGCAUUUUGCAUAUUGGCUUCUAUUCUACCCAAGAGAGCACACAAACACCAACAGACUCUCCCUGUGCCUGAAGAAGGGUGUUUGUGCCCCAAAGCUUGCAGAUAACAAUUUUUCCAACUAUGUAGUUGGUUUAAUAAAAGAUAUCACAUCCACCCAAAGAACCUUGUCUACGUUUUCACAAUGCUUUCUUCUCUUGCAACAGUCUUUCUUCUUUCUCUUUUUUGCUCUGUGCAGUUUUUUUCUUCAUACACUAGAUCUAACACAGAUAUGUAUUUAAAUGACUCAUUCCAGAGAGAGAACGCUGUGACCCUAUGAUCCUGGUUUCGCAACACUUUCUCUUCCUAACUUUGGAGGUAGAAUUGGCACUGGUCACAAAGUGAUUUUGCAGACUUUAAGUAGCCGUACUUAACUCAGAGCUUAGAUAGCACCCCUCUGCAGCAUUCUCUGAGCAUCUUGCAUACAUUACAUAAACACCCUCAACAUGGGGAGUUGUUACGAUAUCCAAAUUUUAGGGGUGCCGAAUGGAGGCACAGAGACCUGUCUACUCCAACAAGCUUUGUGGUUAUAAUCUCUGCCAGUUAAGCCAAUAAUAUCAGCAGAGAUGGUAUUAUUGUGGAUGGGGCUCAGGUGCUUGGUGUAGAUGAUAGGAGAUGUUACGAAUGUGAAUGAACUCCUUACAGACUUAAUAGCCAAUGCCUUUGAUGCCUUGCCUAGAGUCAAAUGACAGUGAAGGUUCAGGAGAUGAGUGGAAGGGAGUAAUCGCUUUAUGCUUUGUAAACAUCUACUUACCUCCACUGACUAACAUUUCAAAUAAACUGUUAACAAAAACUUGCUUUAUCACCUCUGCUUACUUACAAUCUGGGAUCUGUAGUUCCCACAAAGCCUCUUACAAAGCCAAGGGAGAGCAAGGUUGGCAUUCUCUGGGUACCUGAGAUACGGGAGGCAGAACCCCCUUCCAAACUAUACUUACACAGGAAACCCUCGCUAGUCGCGGGUUCGGCAUUCACGGUUUCAAAUAUUUGCGAAUGCCAAAUCCGCAUCUUAAAUACGCUUACAGGAGCUCCUUGGGAGCUCUGCGCUUGCUGCCACUGGACUCCCGCCUUGCCAGUGCAGCUGUGCCCACCCCCCAGUCACCGGGGGCACUGUGUUCAUGACGUUCAUGAACACAGUGCUGUAUUCACAGAUUUCGCCAUUCGCAGGGAUCUCAAGAACGUAUCCCCCGCGAAUGGCAAGGGUCGCCUGUAUCUCAAAAAAGGAAAAACCCAGUUAAAAACAAGCUCUCUGCAGGUCACCUUGAAGAAAUGAUGGGCCUGGUUUUCUCCUGCUAUGCACCUUAUGCAGUUGUUUGCGGCUAUGCAGAGUGAGGUAAAGGUGGGUGUAAAAUGCUGUCGAUUCUGAGUUCGUAACACACUGUACUACUGGUGGUAGCACUGUGUGAGCACCACCCAGCCUGAGCCUGCACUGGGAACUGAGCCGCUGGAUCCCUGUUGGCUUCAGUGGAGAUCUGCUUGCACAGGGGAGUAUCUCCCUGGGUCUGAGAGCAGGAUCAGGUCCUCAGUGACAGCAUGAAGUACAAAGCCGUGGAACAUUGGGCCUCCUGGCACUAGAAGGGGACACUGUUCCAAGAGCCCCCUGCUGCUAGAUAAAUGCUUAUUUUGAUGCAGGAAGCAUUGAUCUUGUGACAGGAUCCCAUUCCAAUUACUGCUUUGAUGACUGCAAAUAACAUAAUGAUUCCAAAUACUAAUUUACUUUGGUUGUUGGCUUUGCAUGGAUUUGGGUGGUGCAGAGUGACAGCUGCUUGCUCUGACCUUAUUGACUGACAACAUUUCAAAUGACUUGGGGAACACGCCUGACAAACCCCAAAGCUUUUGCAGAGCUCUGUGGAUGCCAGUGAAUCUCUACACACGUGUGUCCAUCCAUGUGCAGCGACAUGCAGAGUUGGGGCCUUGGACUUGCAUGCCAGUUCUGUUGCUCUCCCAUGCUACAUUUCACAUCCCAUUCAAGCCACAUUGAUUUUAAAUGGAUACUUUUUGCUUGUUUCCUUUCUUUCACUAAGCCGUUCCCAGCAACCUACCUGACACAGGCUUUUGAUCACAACUUGCUGUUUCCUCCUGCCACCCUUUUGGUAUCCUUUUGAUGUCUUAUUUUUAAAUUGUGCGUGCUUUGGAAGAGGCUGUUGCUCUCUGCGAUACGGAUUUUUUUAUGCCUCCCUGAUGACUGUAAUGUCUGAAUUCUGCCCAAGCGUUCAUGAAGUGACAUGCCAUGUCACAUGUGGCUCAUUCCCCUUCCUGCCUCUCCCAGGCGUGAAUUAGGCAUGCACAGUCAUGUCGGAUGUUUUGUUUCGUGGUGGUUUUCCGUCUUUAAAUAUCCACAUAGUUCUGUGUGUGUUAAAGAAACUGAGUUGGAGAAGUGUCUGGCACUUGGAGCAGGAAGGGAUGAAAGUUGCAAAGGUCUCUUAGCUUGCGGGGGGAAUGAUAGUCUUGGAUCAUCUCCCAGGAAAGCACAGAUGAGCUUUGCCCACAUCAUACAGACUUCCAUUGGGCCUCAGGAGGAGAGACUUCAACUGUGGUCUUCAUCUGGGAGCUUUAGCCUCUAGCAGAUAUGCAGAACACAGUGCUCUGAAGAUAAGGACCAGCCCUUGGAUCUUGGCUUGCUGUUCUUGGAGAAGCCAGCGUAGAGUGUGGAGGGAUGGGAAUUGCUAAAGAUUUAUGCUACAGCAAUCUCUGUUAGCUGGAGUUUCCUAGGCUGAUUGCUGUGUGCCCAGCUACGCAUGUUAUGUGUUUCUUUGUUCCUUGAUUGUACAGCCCCAGAUACAGUUGAGUCCAAGUCUGUGACUGGGGUGUCUAUGCAGUAUAAAUAAAUAAUCUCAGUUUAGAAAAA